AAUGGGCAUGUGAUGAAUCUCAUAGUAACAAAUGGGUAAUUUGCGUCUGAAUAAAUUCAUUGAUGAUAUAU
rfam:Cajanus cajan Scaffold109502_1, whole genome shotgun sequence.